AGUCGAGCGGAGUUUAUCCUUCGGGAUAAGCUUAGCGGCGGACGGGUGAGUAACACGUAGGCAACCUGCCCCAUGAACUGGGAUAACUACCGGAAACGGUAGCUAAUACCGGAUAAUUCCUAUUUUCGCCUGAAGAGAGGAUGAAAGACGGAGCAAUCUGUCAUCAUGGGAUGGGCCUGCGGCGCAUUAGCUAGUUGGUGGGGUAACGGCUCACCAAGGCGACGAUGCGUAGCCGACCUGAGAGGGUGAACGGCCACACUGGGACUGAGACACGGCCCAGACUCCUACGGGAGGCAGCAGU
rnacentral:rRNA from 1 species